GCCCUGGUGGUGGAAUUGGUAGACACAAGUGAUUUAAAAUCCCUCGGCGUUCGCGCUGUGCCGGUUCAAGUCCGGCCCGGGGCACCA
rnacentral:tRNA from 1 species